UACAGAGGUCCCAAGCGUUGUUCGGAUUCAUUGGGCGUAAAGGGUGCGUAGGCGGCGCGGUAAGUCGGGUGUGAAAUCUCGGAGCUUAACUCCGAAACUGCAUUCGAUACUGCCGUGCUUGAGGACUGGAGAGGAGACUGGAAUUUACGGUGUAGCGGUGAAAUGCGUAGAUAUCGUAAGGAAGACCAGUGGCGAAGGCGGGUCUCUGGACAGUUCCUGACGCUGAGGCACGAAGGUCAGGGGAGCAAACGGGAUUA
rnacentral:rRNA from 1 species